rnacentral:rRNA from 1 species
UGGGGAAUAUUGCACAAUGGGCGAAAGCCUGAUGCAGCGACGCCGCGUGAGGGAUGACGGCCUUCGGGUUGUAAACCUCUUUCAGUAGGGAAGAAGCGAAGGUGACGGUACCUGCAGAAGAAGCGCCGGCUAACUACGUGC